rnacentral:lncRNA from 1 species
ACUAGGCUUCAAGGAUUAUCCUUGCCUCCUUGGUUCUGGCAAAAAUUUUUAAUUUAGUUUUAGCCCAUGACGAACUCAUUGUUGAAAUUAAACGACACAGGAAUGAAAGUAGGAUGUGGUGGAGAGAUACACUCUUAGAAAGUUUUCUCACUGAAAAAAAUUUAGGGGUAGAAUGCAAUCCAUUUUUUAACAACCAUAAUUAUUCAACCUUCAAAGUUUUCAAACAGUUUUGUCAGACUCCAAUUUACUAACCAC